rnacentral:lncRNA from 1 species
AAAUGUGACAGAAUUUUAAAAGAAAUAGAAACUAUAGUUGGAGAUUUAGCCAUUCCUUUCACAUUAACUGAUGAUAAAACUACAGUGAAAACCAGUAAGGAUAUAGAAGACUUGAACAGCACUACUAACUUAUAAGACCAAAUUGACAUUUAAAGAGUAUUCUGGCUGGGUGCGAUGGCUCACACCUGUAAUCCCAGCACUUUGGGAGGCUGAGGUGGGCGGAUCUUGAGGUCAGGAGAUCGAGACCAUCCUGGCCAACAUGGUGAAACCCCGCAUCUACUAAAAAUACAAAAAUUAACAGAUUGAGUCUCUCUCUGUCGCCCAGGCUGGAGUGCAGUGGUGCGAUCUCAGCUCACUGCAACCUCUGCCUCCCGGGUUAAAGCAAUUCUCCUGCCUCAGCCUCCUGAGUAGCUGGGACUACAGGCGCCCGCCACCACGCCCGGCUAAUUUUUUGUAUUUUUAGUAGAGACGGGGUUUCACCAUGUUAGCCAGGAUGGUCUUGAUCUCCUGACCUCGUGAUCCGCGCACCCCUCACUCCCAAAAUGCUGGGAU